AGCGCGCCCCGGCUUGAGCGGAAAUCCUUUUUUGUGGCUGGAAUUAGCGAUGGCAAAAAGAUUGGGAGCGGAAGACGGAUAAAGGC
rnacentral:sRNA from 1 species